rnacentral:rRNA from 1 species
UACGAAGGGGGCUAGCGUUGCUCGGAAUCACUGGGCGUAAAGCGCACGUAGGCGGCUUCUUAAGUCAGGGGUGAAAUCCUGGAGCUCAACUCCAGAACUGCCUUUGAUACUGAGGAGCUUGAGUCCGGGAGAGGUGAGUGGAACUGCGAGUGUAGAGGUGAAAUUCGUAGAUAUUCGCAAGAACACCAGUGGCGAAGGCGGCCAACUGGUCCGAUACUGACGCUGAGGCGCGAAAGCGUGGGGAGCAAACAGG